CCCCAUACGCCUUCUCCCCCAAGACCCCCUCCUCCCUAGAUAUCUCGCCGCUGCCCCUCUACCGCCGGUGCCCCCUCUUGGCGCCCCCCUCUUGGCGCUGCCGCCGCUGUCUCGGAGACGCUCCGCCUCCCGCGUGGGGAGCCGAGCGACCGGAGCUCUGCAUGCAUGUCCUUGCAUCCCGCGCGUCGUGCUCGCCCCACUGGUGCAGCUCGGGCCUUGCACCGCUCCUCGUUGGCCCGCCGCCGCCCGAAUUUGCGCCGCCGCCCGGGGAAUCACGCCGCUGAUGCCAAUGAGUCAAGAACUGCCACCGGCCCGAUUCGCGUCUCUGCCCUGGUCGAGUUGGAUGUGCAUAUGAAUUAGUUGGUAGGCACUGGUUUUUGAAACAAUAGACCUUGUAUUUCUAGAUGAAAAAAUCAGAAAAAGUUAUAUUCUACCAAUAAAAAAUUUAGCUUGAUAAUUAUUACUUUUUGACAGGCUUUCAUUCUAUGAGUUCCCCUAGCUGUUCUAGUGAAUCUGGAGGCACUUCUGAGUCUGAAAAUAUCAUGGUUGUUGAUGAGUCUA